GAUGAACGCUGACAGAAUGCUUAACACAUGCAAGUCAACUUGAACUUCGGUUUGGGUGGCGGACGGGUGAGUAACGCGUAAAGAACUUGCCUCACAGCUAGGGACAACAUUUGGAAACGAAUGCUAAUACCUGAUAUUAUUAUUAUAUGGCAUCGUAUAAUUAUGAAAGCUAUAUGCGCUGUGAGAGAGCUUUGCGUCCCAUUAGCUAGUUGGAGAGGUAACAGCUCACCAAGGCGAUGAUGGGUAGCCGGCCUGAGAGGGUGAUCGGCCACAAGGGGACUGAGACACGGCCCUUACUCCUACGGGAGGCAGCAGUGGGGAAUAUUGGACAAUGGACCGAGAGUCUGAUCCAGCAAUUCUGUGUGCACGAUGAAGUUUUUCGGAAUGUAAAGUGCUUUCAGUUGGGAAGAAAAAAAUGACGGUACCAACAGAAGAAGUGACGGCUAAAUACGUG
rnacentral:rRNA from 1 species